GAUCAUGGCUCAGGAUGAACGCUGGCGGCGUGCUUAACACAUGCAAGUCGAACGGGAAUUACUUUAUUGAAGCUUCGGUCGAUAUAAUUUAAUUCUAGUGGCGGACGGGUGAGUAACGCGUGGGUAACCUGCCUUAUACAGGGGGAUAACAGUCAGAAAAUGGCUGCUAAUACCGCAUAAGCGCACAGAGCUGCAUGGCUCAGUGUGAAAAACUCCGGUGGUAUAAGAUGGACCCGCGUUGG
rnacentral:rRNA from 1 species